rnacentral:rRNA from 1 species
AGCUCUAAUAGCGUAUAUUAAAGUUGUUGCAGUUAAAAAGCUCGUAGUUGAACUUCGGGCCUGAUUUGCUGGUCCGCCGCAAGGCGUGUACUGGUUUCGAAUCGGGCCUUUCCUCCUGACUACCCAUGAUGUUCUUUACCGGAUGUCAUGGCGGCUCAGGACUUUUACUUUGAAAAAAUUAGAGUGUUCAAAGCAGGCCUUUGCUCGAAUAUAUUAGCAUGGAAUAAUAGAAUAGGACGUAUGGUUCUAUUUUGUUGGUUUCUAGGACCGUCGUAAUGAUUAAUAGGGACAGUCGGGGGCAUCAGUAUUCAAUUGUCAGAGGUGAAAUUCUUGGAUUUAUUGAAGACUAACUACUGCGAAAGCAUUUGCCAAGGAUGUUUUCA